AUUGAACGCUGGCGGCAGGCCUAACACAUGCAAGUCGAGCGAGCGGCGGACGGGUGAGUAAUGUCUGGGAAACUGCCUGAUGGAGGGGGAUAACUACUGGAAACGGUAGCUAAUACCGCAUACCAUCAGAUGUGCCCAGGUGGGAUUAGCUAGUAGGUGGGGUAACGGCUCACCUAGGCGACGAUCCCUAGCUGGUCUGAGAGGAUGACCAGCCACACUGGAACGGAGACACGGUCCAGACUCCAACGGGAGGCAGCAGUGGGGAAUAUUGCACAAUGGGCGCAAGCCUGAUGCAGCCAUGCCGAGUGUGUGAAGAAGGCCGUCGGGUUGUAAAGCACUUUCAGCGGGGAGGCGUUACCCGCAGAAGAAGCACCGGCUAACUACGUGCCAGCAGCCGCGGUAAUUC
rnacentral:rRNA from 1 species